UUCUGUUGGCUUUGGCAUCAAAUGCUGCUUUUUGCACUGAUUUUUAGAGCUAAAAGAAACUUUUCCCUUUUUGUUGUCACUUUGCAGUGUAAACUGCUGAGGGAGCUCAUGUUGCUUCUCUUGUAGCAGGACUAUGUUGAUUACAAUAUGUACAAUACUAAAUUAGGCCAGGGUAUGGGCAUCCUUCUUCAGUAUUUUCCAUCCUAAAAAAUCCUAUGGUCUUCUGGGAGUGAGGGUUCAAUACCUUGAAGGAAUUGUCACAGAUUCAUCCUGUAUUUGGGGCAUUUUACAGCUGCCUGUGGACUCUUACCCUUUUCAUAAACUUACCUCAGUCCAGCCCUGCUGUAGUAUUCCCACUUCUUAACUUAAUCAGGAUUAGCUUUCAGAUAUCCAACCCCUAGAAUUAUAGCUUCAAUGAAAUGAAAGCAGGUUGCAUAGGACAGUCUACAUUAAAGUGUGUAAUGUGUUAUGCUAUAAUUGUGGAAGAGUGGAAAAUGUCGGCCUGGUUUUGGAAAUACUUUAUAGUGUUAUUUAGAUGCCAGUUUUUCGUUGUUCUGAUAACGUCUUACUGAUCUGCAAGUUUUAAGAAGCAAAUCAUCAGAUUGUUGCGAUUUUUAAAUAUAUGCAAGAGAUUUUGCACUGUGGUGUUGAUUCAGGUCUUAGACUUGCACAAGAACCAUGUGGGAGCUGUGGUUCUGUUGAACAGGUUUUCCAGAAUUACCUAGGCCCCUCUUUUCACACAACUUCCUUGUAUGCUCUUACCACUUUCGCUUCCUUUCAAGGAGCCAUUUUUCUACAGACUCUGAGUGACUGCUGCCAUAGACUGUUCCCUUUGAAAAUUCAGUUUUCCUAAUAUUGUUCAUACUGACUAAGCUAAAUUAUUGAUUCAGGAUUUUUAAAAAUCUAAGUAAGGAUACUUUCCACCUUAAUUGCAUACUAAUUAACACUUUGCUUUGUGGAGGAUUAAUAUUAUACAAUCUGUAACCCUACCGUAGCCACCUCUCUCCUCUACCUCUAAUCCAGGAAACUGUUUUCUUUUGUCCAAAGACAACUCCAGUAGCCAACAUGUGUUUUCACAACCUUGUCUUAGACUCCAUGAAGAACAAGUCUCCACCCAAAAAUUCCUCACAGAUUCUUUCUUUUAUGCUGUUACAAGCUACAUGGUUAAAUUAGCCUCAGUAACCAACACAUUCUAAUGUCUGUGGAGUGUCUCGGGUGAGAAAUUUCAUGAGACCCUCCCUUAAAGAAACACUGCCAUCAUAUCCCCGCUGCAGCUCCUACUUGCCAGUGCAGGAAGAUGCAGUGCUGGCUGAUGUCAUCUCUUGAAGGCAUUAAUUUCAUUUGCAAAAUGCUGUGGUUUUUCUGAAGUGUGUGAACUUUCCUUACUUUCCUUUCUUGAAAUGUGAAUUAAUGCUUUGUUUUCAUCUGUGUGGACUUGGUAUGUAUCCUACCUUUGUACACAAGCCUUUAAGGCUGUGUGGCAAAGAUGGCAGGUUAAAAAAAGUCAUUGUUAGAGCAAUUAAGUUUUAUUUUCUGUGAGUCCUACUGAUAAGAAGUAUCCAGUGGUUCUCGCUGCUGGCACCAACGUUGGUGCUCGACUACCAGCCAAGCCACGUGUCAGAGCACCAGCUCAGCCACUGAAAAUAAACCAAAGGUAAGGUAGAGCAGUAGGAAACAGCUUAACCAUAGCAUGCCCUUCCCUGCAGAUGGGGAUUCAGACCACAUCUUGUGCACUUGGGCUGUGUUCUGGUGAUGUGCUGCAAUGUAAAUACAAACAGAACUGUGGUUAAAGUUUCGAAUUAUUGCUGAACUCUUAGUUGUUCCUCUCCAAACUUCAUCCUCACUAUUUGUAUUUGAAACGAUAUGGCCUUUACUUCCAGAGUUAUCAUUGAUCCAUGCAGUGUCCUGGUUGAGCUCUUUGAACACCCAAGAUUAAAGUUCCCCUUGUUUUAUAAUUUCAGCUGAAUUAAAUGUUAGUCACUCCUUGCUGGGAAACGUUGGGCUGCACGUCGCUGAGAAGCUUCAGUCUGGAGGCAAGUGCGCUUCAGUGCCAAGGGAAAUAAUAACCGGAUGGAUGGAAAGCAUCUGGGAUUGAUGUGGUUUAAAGGUGCUGUUCGUGCAAGCUAUUAUCAAGGAAGGAGUUAGGGAAGAGAUUCACUCUUAAAAUGCAGGUGCUCUAGCGCUUUCCCUGACAGAUUUGUUCCAACAGUGUUUUGAAUUCUGUUUAAAAUUUGAAAGAGCUAAACCUUCAGGCUCUUCUCUUCCUUUCUUAAAUUCAUUUCCCUGUUUAGAUGAAAAAGAAACAUUUUGCAACUUACUUUAAACUUUCUUCAAAAGACCUGCUGGAAUAGGAACGUUCAUGUACAGCACACAAGCUGUAAAUGAAUGUUAAGCACAGCAGACGAAGCGAUUGUAAGUGCGCUAAUGGACAGGCAUUAGACUGCGGGAAUUUACCUAAGAGAAAACCUUAGGUGUGAAGGGACUGCCAGGCGGGGAUAAAGCCCCAGUGAAUGCACCAAAUGAUGGAAGAGUAUUACCAGAGUAAAGAGCUGCCUGUGUAAAAUAAAUAUCGAAAUGGGGAAAUAGCGCCAACGAAGAUAAUGAAAGAUAGAGAACAUUUUGGUUAAGUAACUGGUGGAGCAGCAUGCGCGCACAGCCUCUGCUGCUCCCUAUGGGAUCUUAGGGUGUUUGUCUCUCUCUCCCUCCCCCUCAUUUUGGCAUUUUUUCUCUCGCUAAUGACUGUAGCUUAACAGAGUUAACAGCAUUAAUGGGCAAAUCUCCCUCCAUCCAAACGCGGAACAGACUCUUUUGUAGCGCUCUGUCAGGCGGUUUCAGGUGCGUACUUGCCUCUAAAUUUCCGACAAACUGUUUUCCUCAUAAUUUUUGACUAAUGCUGUUAGGAUCCUGGCUGCCGGUUCCUUUCCCUGGCAGUGGGGAAGUAGCAAAACAAAUGGGUUGAGGUUUGCAUGAUUUGUGAAUAUGAAGGAAAAAAAAAAGAAAAAAAGAUUCAUGUAAAGAAAAAAAAAAUACCCCACAGGAAAGAAAUAAUGGGCAAUAUGUUUCCUUUUGAACUUUUUCAAAACAACCUCUGGAAAAGGUGUCAUAAAGCCCCCAGAAAUGAGUAACAGCACAGGGACAAAGAAAACUCUGUUACAGAUGUCUCUGCAAGUCUAUGAGCAAAUUGUUUUUUUCUAAAUAACUCCAGAACAUUACAUGGCCUUAACAAGUUUCCCAGGACAGGAACUCCGAGUUUAUUACUUACUCACAUUGUCAUCAGAAAUUAAUUUUGUCCCUGAAAGACAAAUUGGCUGGUAGCUUAUGAAGUUAAAUGGAAAGAACAAGUGAGCAUCUGUUUCUUCUGCAUUUUGUCUCCUUGGUGUCUUACAUAUAAAUGAAUCAGAGUGUUCAAACUUAAAUUAAGAUCUUUGGCUAGAUAAACAGUUAAAACUGGUUCCCAUAGCUACCUCUCACACAUAGCUGUGAUUGCAUUAUAAUCCCCUAGUAAUCAGGUCUAAAUGAAAGAAAGAUGAUAAGGGUGCUAUUUUCAGUUUUCAGUACUGAUUUUUAUUAGCUCUCAAUCAGAUCAGGACUGCUUUGCCUUUCAUCACAUUGUGGCAGUGUUUGUAGAAUCAUUAGAGUAAUAAAGUGUAAAUCUUACCGAGGUGCAUUUUUCUUGAGGUGUUUUAUAUAACGAAAACUCCGAAGAUUACACUGGCGGGUACAGGAAAGAUUUGUUUCUGCAGCUGAAGUGAGGAUGUAAUGUAUGCUAUAUUCAUUUAUUCUUUACCCGAGCGAAUACCUAAUGAAUUACCUCGCCAAGGUAAAACAAAAAAUAAAAAUGUCCAAAGAAUCAGCCUGUCUGAACAUGGUCCUAAUGUACCAUAUACUGCAAGUACUGAGUUUAGUCAUUUUUUUAAUUUGCCUUAUUAUCUUGUAUCGUAUCUCUCCCUGUGCAUUACCGUGCAGAAAUGAAUUACAGGCAAAACCACAAGCACUGCUAUUACCAGCCUGCUGUUUUUAGUAAACUGGUGCAGCCCAAUAAAACAUCAUGUUGCAGCAAUAUAUAAGUAUUUAUUGUAGAGUAAAUUUCAGCUGAACAAAAGCACGCAGGGAGGCCUGAUCCUGCUCUUUCCAAAGGCAGUGGGAAAGCUGGAGCUUGGCUUAUGCAUCAUAUGUGCCUCACUUGUACCCUUGAUUUGCAGUGUCCUUUAAGGUGAAUUUUACUUAAUGGCAUUGCUUCUGAAAGUCUCCUGACUGCCAAAUUUAGACGAGCCUUCACCCAGCCCACAGAGGUGUUCCUGGGCCUUUCUGCACGCAGACCUAUCCUUUAGCACAGAGAUUGCUCUGUGCAGUGUUGCAGGAGUGUUCACAGAGUUUGCAGGUGUGCCCCACAUUUGCAGUUAACUCCCAGUUUCAUACUGGAUUGAUUUUACUUUCCCAUGCACUAUUUUUUUUUUUUUUAAAUAUCUGGUGAGUGUUUUGAUGUCUCAUUCUAUAGCGUAACUAUCAACGUCUCCCCGUUUUAAAUAUUCAAAUGUGAUGCCUUGUAUAUUUAAUUGAGGAGUAAACUGUCCUAAUAAUUCAGUGCUAGAUAUUUGCACUCAUCUACACAACUGUGGCAGUAAAAGGUAGCAGCAGAAAUUAGUCCCAACAUUAUUUUUUUAAUUAUUUUUUUUAGGCAGCAGGCCAACAACUUUUCUGUUUUUCAGUGUACCUGAUGUAGGAACGAUGCCUAAUAUUAAGAUAAACAAGUUGUGCUUGCUUUCUUUUUUAUAAAAGAUUAUUUCUUUGAGCCAUCAAACAGUGCUGUUUGUAAGUUACCAAAGGGUCGGAUACUGUCUGAUGUUAAGAUACGGAGUAUUUUAGAACGGGGACCAUUUCAUAUAUAUAUACUGAUAUUUAAGAUAAUUAGCUAUUGGGAUUCACGUCAGGCAAAAAGGAAUAAAUCAGUCCAUAUGAUGCUAUAGAUAAGGGAACAAAAUUUAUGUUUCAAAUUUUAAUCUGUUAAGACUUAUAAGAUGCAGAGAGGCUCUCAGUCUAAAAUGAUUAAUUUGCUACUAAUAUUUUAAAUCACAAAAAGCUCCCACUCAAAUGCUGUUGCAUUAAAAUCUGGGCAGACGGUAUUUUGGUCACAAAGGUUUUGUGUGCGUUUGUAUGUUGACACGCAAAUGUACUAUGUCUAGAAGAUGUUGCUAUGUCUAAUGACACAAAAGAGAGUAAAUUGUAGUGCCUGAUUAUCAACAGAUAACAAGACAUACUGUAUAUAAAUAAAUGCUCAGCAUCAAAACCCAUUAUUGGAUUAGCUAUAUAAUCAUGUUUCAGGCUGUAAGUCUGUGCUGACAAAUGAACACUUUUCAUUUGGCUCAAGGUCCUCAUCAGCAAUGGAACUAAUUUUACAUUCUCACCCAUUAAGUGAAUAAGAUGUGGAAAAAGCUGUCUGCUUUUUGAAGUGUAAAUUUGCUGCUACAGGCUGUGCAGACCAAAGCUCUUUUGAAGCAGUGAAAUGAGAUCAUCUCUAGGGACAUGUGAACCUGACAAAGUUUAGGUCAUUUCUGUGGAAGGUAUGGUGAGGGGGGAGAACCAUUUGGAUAUGGUUUCAGUAGUGACUUAUAUGGGGCAAUUUGGAAGAUGCUGAACUUUACAAGGUUUUUUGUUCAAAUUUGUGAGAGAACUUGAACUGGAAGCACAGAUGCAAGCUUUCAGCCCUCAGAGAGAAACCUCCAUAAACAUCCGAACUGGGUACAUGGCCAGCACAGUUUGGGAGCACUCAGAAGGCUGCGUGCUGAGCCUCUGCUGCUCAGCAGGAUGCAACCAAGCAGUUGUUAGGGUCUGGAUGCUCUCCUUGCUUUCUCCACUGUACAUACACCCAAUGGAGAUCCAAAAACUAUCUUGGGCGUUUUUCUGGAAUGGCUGAAGCUGGAGGAACUAGGCCAUCACAUCUCCCUUUCCACCCCUGGGAAGUCCCUCAGGAAAGAGGAAAAUUGCAGCUCUGUUCCUCAUCCGGACACCCUGGCCCCCUAAAUCAUAGCCUGGCACCUGUGUUAGCUCACCCUCUGGAAGCUCCUGGCUGUAUGGGAGGACGUCCUGUGUGGCCAGAAGGGGACAGGAGAGAGGGGCUCAGCAAGGGCCCUCCAUCAGCUGAUGCCUGGGGCAGGGUUACAGCAGGCCUUAGGUGGAACGCAGCAUCGUCAUCAACCACAGCUCAAGCAAAGAUGAUGAAGACACUGCUGACACCAACUUAGAAGAAAAGAAUCUCGUGAAAACCACUUUAUUUUUAAGAUAUCCAGACACACAAAGCAGUGUUUAGCCACUGUUUAGGAUCAUGAAAAAAAUAUCCCCAGGCAGUGUUGAGCGUCUAACCACAGCGCUUUUCAUUUGCAAACCAACUAAAAAUUAAGAUAGGCUUUGAUUGUUCAUUUGUUAAUUUGAUUUCACCCCCUUCUCUUUCUUUGCUCACUGGAACCUUCAGUCUUGUUCGAAAAAAAAUUUGAAGUUCUUUCAUCCACCACUUUCUGCUGUUUUAUGGCCUACCAGUAGUCCAUGGACUGCAAACUGAGAGAUGCUGGCAGAACAUUGGGUAGUGCUGUGUGCAUGUAAUGAAGCUAAAGAAAGUUACGGGAAACACAGCCUGGCAUAUUUGCGUGAAAAUAUCCAUCCCUGGUAUGCCCUGUGUAAAUGGGACUAGUUAAAUCUUAGUUCAAGCACCCUGAGCAUAUGGUUUUGAAAUUGUUUCUCUAAGAGUAAUGGCUGUCAAAGAGUAAAGAUGUUUGUCAGGCACUUCUGUAAGGAACAACAGGUUUUUAAAAAGACCCCUGGGAAAACAACUGAACUGCUUUCUGCCAUGGCAUUUUUAACUAGAGGUAUUAAUGCAUCAUGUAGGAACACCUGACCAGCCGAACUGAGCAGAAACCUAGGUGAGAAACCUCACCAGACUCCUCAUCUGAAAGAAACAAAUGGAAAUAACGUGACCCAAAAUAAAGUGAGAUGAAAGAGAGAUUCUGCGCUCUCUUCCUGAGCUCACCAUUCUGAAUUUGCUGCUGAUGUCCUGAUGGAGCCAGUGCCUUGUGCCGAGUAGCAGGAGUAGUUCUCCACUUGCCUGAGCACUUCAGCUGUUGAAAUAGCCCUCCUGCAGUCAGUGGUGAUUAUUCAGGACCUCUCCUUCGGUUUCCACAUCAAAAUAAAGCUGUUAGUAAUAUUUCUAUACUUCUCUGGCAUAUUAUGAAAGUUAAUUAGUUAAUGUCUGCAAAAGACUUUGAAAGUAUAAAAUGGUGUGGAAGUUCCGAGCGUGAUGCUGUGAGGGUCUCCCUUUCCCCAGCUGAAGGCAGAAUGAGUUAAAGUUAGCCAAGGGGGGUAAGAGAAACAAGAGAGCCUUCGUGAGUGUAUCAGGGGAAAAGGAAAUACUGGAGAGAAAAUAGACCCAUUAGCAAAUGAUGAAGGAGAUGAAGUUAAUUAUGAUUUUAAAAUGGAUGAGCAACAGAACCACUUUUUUUUUUUUCUUUAAAGAAAAAAUCAGUCUUUAACAACAGAAAAGUAAGGACUGACAAUUAGGCAGAAGCAAAGACCUUGUGAAAACAGGUGUUUGAUUAAAAAGUGAGGGGGAGAAAACCUGUAAAAUGGGAAUAUAUGUAAAUGAGCGAGUCUAGAUGAAACUCAUCUUAAGGUCUUAAGAGCAAUGUGAAACUAAUGCAUUUUUUAAGUAUUUACAAGUAGUGUGGAAAAAAUGUGGCAGAUGGGAAGAGUCAUAUCAGAAAAGAAAAAGCAACGAGCACCAAAAAAGAGCUAAUUUGUUUGGAAAAAUGGUACCAGUGGUUACUGACCAGUAAGUAUUCCUCUGUCCUGUAAGUGAGAAACAAAACGAGUAAGCAAAGGGACACCACAUCUGUCAGGUUAUAAAGCCACACAACAAAACAGAGGUUUCAUGACUGAGUUACAAAGUGCAGCAACGAGGAGCCCAGUGUAUAUGUUGGGUCAGAUCCUGAGCUGCUGCUCUGCCCCUUUACACCCACAGAUCUAUUCGUAACAUCUGUACUUGAGUAAGUCAUUUGACAAAAAUACCUUGCAGACACAUACCUGAGAAAAGAAAUCUAAAUUGGCUUUGAUAGGAAAGGUGUCGUUUGGGCUGGGAAUGGCAGUAUGAGGCCAAACAAAAGUGAUCUGAAGAUUAAAAAAAAAAAAUAGAGUCUCGUUGUAAAUAUGUUAUGAUUAUUUCAGCACAAAGAAUGAUUAAGACAUAAUUAUAGAAAGAAUACCAAGUUACUGUGUGAGCAGCAGAACUAGGGCACCGUGGCUCCCGGUGUGUUCAGAUGCUGUGCUUGGAUUCACCGGUGUUGUAACAGGUUUUCUCCAUGACACCUCCUCCACAGUCCAGGCAGGCUGGGGCCUUGCUGGGCCAUGGCUGGUGGUGGGGACAACCCACCUCUACCCACCUCUAUGUCAGCUCUGUGUCACCUCCGAUGGGCAGUGGUGUUUGAGAGCUACACGGCUUUCAGAUGCAAUCAAGGUCAAAAUGGCCAAUUUUCCCAAACUCAGAGAGUAAUCACAUUUCCCAUGUCUGUUUAUUGGGAACUCAAAUUUAAAUAUCUUCAGAAAGGAUAAAUUCUGAGUGAAAACUCAAACAGAGCUAGAGUUACAGGUGAGCAAAAUGCACUGUAUUUUGAGACUCUGUCCCUCUCCUUUAUAUCAUGUGCAAAACACUGUGUCUUAACAGGUGGACUGCAUACAGGUAGCAGCUUUAUUUUUCAGAUGCCUCCUUCUUAGAUACUAUUUUAGAAGUUUCCCCCCACUAAAAGCACAAAGUAUUUUUCCAGUGAGCUACCUGCUCCAUUUCAGUGUAAAGGGUUAAGGAAAUAGGGAAUUUCUAGACUGAUUAUUUUAGGCUGUUAUUUUUUAAAACCACUGUUCAUCUCUGACUGUUGAAUAUGCACACGCAUAUCAGUAAACACUGCUUCUUGCACAGAAUGAGGCAUAUAAAAUUUCAGAGAGGUUAAAUAUGCCUGUUGUAGAGAGGGGACCAAAACUAACUUAUAAUUUAUUAUAUUCAACCUCCAGGAUAAUGGCAGCCCUGCAGGUCCUGCAGAAUAACAGGGCAAUGUCUCCAUUGCUGUAGUGGGAACUGAACUGGUGACAAGAACACUAUUUCUUGUCUGUAAGCUGAAAGUAUCACUGAGUUAAAUGGAGCAUCCGGUAGCCUCUUCUAUGAGGACAGAAGAGUGCAACUUGAUUUAAAAACACUGCCAUAAUAUCAUAGUGCUACCUUUUUGGGUCUGUUUACUAUUCUUCUCUGUUCAUUAAUACCAAAUUUUUUGAGAGGCUUCUAACACUAUUCGGUUUCACAGGAACAAAAUAAAAAGGUGUCGUAUGUGGUUUCAUGGCAGCAGGGAGGUGACAGCACACAUGGGCUGAGAAGCAGAAAUCCCCUUCAACAGCAGAGACUAUCUCUGCCAGCAGGUAGAGAAGAGGUUGUUUGUCUGAAGAAAGAAGGGUGUGGUGGAAAUACUUCAUGCCAGUCAAGUCAACCAAAAUACUACCUGAGUUACAAAGCAUGCUGGAAAACAAAAUUAAACAGAAGAUCUGGGCCCCACCUGUGCUCUCCCAGGAGAGACUGAGAGAAAAGGAGUUCUGGGAGCUGGGAACACACAGCUCCCUGCAGCAGCUGCACUAUGGAAUUCACCCUGGAUGAAUGGGAAUGCCAAUGUCUUCACCUCCUGAAGAGAGGACACAGCUCUCAGACUGAAUUAGCCACAGCUGGAUAGGUUGUUUUGAAAUCUCCACAAUUUUCAGACCUGGAAGAUUUUUCCAUCAUGCUGGCCUGGGGUAGGCAUUUGGUGGGUGAGUAAACUAUAAUUUGGUUUGUUUUGCCUUAUGAAGUAAGUGUAGAAAAUACACCAAAGUAGCUGGUCACAUAUUUGGACCUGGGCUUCUCACGAAAGUUCUGCAAAACCCUCUCAAAUGUCUGAAUAUUUACUAAGUAGGUCACGAAAUAUUUUCCAACAACAAAAAUACAAAUACAAAAAUACAAUAGAGUAAUCCUAUUGGGAUGUAGUUAUGUGCUAAUGACUUUAUUUUCUUCUUCCUCCUGUUCAGGCAGUAACAUGCAAAGUGACCACAGCACUGUUGUGAAAUUGCUGAUUAACCUUUUGACUCUGACAAUUGGGACUUCUCUUAACACCAAUUGGUAAUGCAAAAGACCAUUAGUAGUUAAUAUUGGGACACCCCACCUCCAGAUGCCAAAAGGUUAAUGAAAAAGCAAGUAUCUUGCUUUUACUGGGAAACUUGGAAACCUUCCCACCAAACAUUUCAUUUUUUGUGAUAAACAAGCCAGACCGCUUCAGCUGAGAAAGACGGGUGUUUUGCUAAUGUGUACAGCUGUUAAUUGAAAAAGAUUCUGUUAUGCCUGUUCUUCUGGACAUAGAUAAAAGAGAGAUUUGUUGGUGAACUUUAGUUGGUCCUGAACACCCCUUUGUCAAAAUACACUGCUCAAUAAUAACGCUUUGUUCUGUCUGUAACAGCCACGGAAGGAUUUUGAGUGGAAUACUCAUUUUCUUUAAGUCAUAUCUGCCAGUGAUCAUUCUUGGCUUAAGAUCAGCUGCCAUUUAUGUGUUUUAUGAAAAUAUAACACCAGUUUUAUGCUCAAAACUAUUCUUUUUUAGGUAAAAGCUUCAGCACAAACUGGUUCCCCAUAUGUACCAUAAAUGCUAUUUAUCACAGGUUUUGGUCUUUAAAACAGAAUGAUAAUGUUAAAACAUUUUCAUUACCCUUUCCUUACAGCUAUCAUUCACAAACCAUCUUUUAUAAUUAUGGUACUAGGACAUUUACAUAACUGGGAAAAAGGUCCUUAAACUACAUUUCUAUUAUGUUUGGCACUUGUGUGAAAGGAUAUUAUAUUCAUGUGCAUUAGAGAUUGCUUAUAAAAGAUCAAGACAAUAAUAGCAGAUCAGACGAUAAAGGUUCCCUUUUCUCCUCCCAGACAGGCUGUCUCUGACAGAAGAAUACAGUUCAUCAAAAGUGUCUGCAGGUUGUCAAACUCAGUGAGAUUUGGGGACACUCGGAGGCUGUCAUGGCCAACAAGAAGAUUUUCUGUAGGGUUCUGCCAUCAUUCACCCUCAGGAAAUAAUCACUCACUACAUUCUGCAUGCUCUCAUGAUAGAGCUCUAUUUGAGAGAAAAGAGCCAUUUUAUCAAAGGACAAUAUAUCCCUUCUCUUGGUCCAUGCAGCUUCCAUUAUCAGACCAUAAUAAAUCAUAUUUAUGUUCUCAGUUAAUAAGACUGAUUACAAUGCAGGUUACAGGCAUGGGAAAAGCAAAGCAGGUGAAAAGAUGUUUUAAUGAAAAUAUGAUAAGCAAACAGCUUCUUGUGAACAUUUCAGGCUGUUAUUUGUAAUGAUCACAGGCAAUUUUUGAUACAUCUUCUUUAGCAAUGGUUUAAGCUGCAUAAAUUGGCUUGCCACUUUAUACGUCGAAAUAGGAAGAAUCCCAGUGUCCUUCUUAUGUUGUCUAGAAUCAUUAUAUACAUUAUAAGCAUAAAAUGAGUUUAAUGUAUGUGCUUUGAAAAGAUGGGGAAAACAGAAAAUCAGGGAGGACUGAUUUUAAUGCUGCUCAAAAUGAUUUUGAAAUUUUCUGCACAUCUUUGUUACUAACGGUGCAUUUUCCAUGAAAUUUAGGGAUGACAUGUGGUGCUUUCAUCUCCUUAAAAUUAAUAUACUUCUCUUUCUGUUUUUCUCAGUUUCUUCAAAGUUCUUUUUAGAACACUGUGCAAAGAGACAGAGAGAAAAUUCUCCACUCGAUGUGUGAACAUAUCUGUUAUUAAUGCUGGGGGGGAGUUAAGUGUGUGCUUCUAGAGGAGAAUAUACCCCUGCGUUAAACACUGAAAUCAACCCUAUCAAAAAGGUGCAAGGAUAUUUAGCUGCAGCACACCUGAUGCAUUCAAGGGCCAAAUUCCUUAGAAUCUUUUAAAGUGAUCAAGAUCUCUUUUGUUAAGAGCGCUCCAAUGAUUUCAGAAUAUAACUGUACUUAAGUAGCCGAGGAAGUGUCUUGCUCUUGUCUCGUGAAAAGCUUUCUUUUAUGUUUUAUUGUUGUUUUCUUUUUUGCUGUAGUCAUUUGGUUUAUGUUUAGCAUCAUACUUUCAAGACAAAGUUAAAAAUUUAAAGAAUAAUUUCUUCCUGCUAGCAGAUAAUGCUGACUAAGUAUUUCAAAAUCUACAGCACUUGCAGAAUGCAAGCAUUAUGCUUAAAAUGUAUAUAAUGAUUCCAGACAAUAUGAGAAGGACACUGGGAUUCUUCCUACUUUGAUAUAUAAAGUGGUGAGCAAACGCAGAAGUCUCCAUGGUGUUGUGUGUCUGUAGGAGCUGUUCUGGUCACUGAUACUUCUAAAGCUCCCUUAAACAAAUGUUAAAGCUUUGUAAUGGGCCUGGCAAUGGAGAAUGACCAUGAAAUUCCCUUAACCCUUUUAGGGCACUUCAGCAGGAGAAGUGAUCACACAAGAAACAGUAAACUGCGCUUCAAAGGCAGCAUCCUGAUAUGACAACAGAUGUAGAUAAUGCACUUCAUGAUGAAACUGCUUGAUACAGAGAAAAACACGUUGUAACUGCCUUCACCCUGAAAGGGGUUUAAAAAUGCUGCCUGCCAACUCCACAAAAAACAGAGCUGCUAUUUCAGUUAAAGGCCAGUGGAUUGUAUUUUUCGUGUCAGUUUUCACUAACCUCAAACAUCACUGUUAUGACAGACUGUCAUCCAACCAAGCCAGCACUGUGGUGCCAUUCAGGCAAGAAAGAAGAAAGCAAACACAAAGGAAACUUAGAAGUCCGAGCAGUAAGAGCGGGUGUCUGUGAGUGCACUUUUGUGCAGCGAUACUGAUUACUGAAAAUGAAACACUUAAAAGAAAACAAACCCAAAAAAGUGAUUUCUGAGCCAUUGGUGUUUUCUUGCCUGGCAAUUUCUCUUUGUUCUGUUUCAUGACAUCAGCCUCAGUGGUUGAAAGGGUGUUCUGGGCCAGAUGUCAAUCACUAUGUCUGACAUAAACAAAAAUAGCUAAAAAGACAUGCCAGCAUCUUCCUUUUGUUUUCCCAUUAGCUCCAUUUUUCUUUUCAGAGGCUGACAAAAAAUUACUGCCUCCGAGUGAAUUCAGUAAUGUCACUAUAUAUCUAAUAUCUAGGAGACCUUUUGUUUUAGCUUUACUGGGCUUAACCACAAAAGACACUUGACAUUGACAAAGAGUCUGUCAAAUACACAAUGAUCAGUGCAGUGAAAUCUCUCAUGACAGAAGGGCACUAUUCUGCACCCCCAGCCUGCAGCAGCCUAUCUGAGUAAAAUGUGCUGGAGCACAUGCAGCAGCUGAACCAUUGCAGAGCAGGCCAUAAGCUGAGAUGUGUCUUGUUUAAAGUGUCAUAGUAUAUUAGUGUAAUUAAAACCGCCAAAAGAAUAGAAAAGAUAGAUGGAAAUGUUACAUUACUUGUUUCUAGAGAUUAACCUCCAGCCAGAACUGAAAUACAGGGACACAUUUUGCAUGUCUUAGAGCUCUGAUAUGGAAGAAAACAAGCCUGAGUGUAUGUCUCUUGAAGUGUGAGACAUGAAGUCAUAGUUCCUGUAUUUACACAAUAAAGCAGAAACAGCGCUUCAGACAGGCACGCUGUUUUCUCUCUGAUUACAGCUCCCGUUGUGGCUGUACUCUGCAAAGCAGCUGUAUCAUCUCUCAGCUACUUCCCUUUUACUCUCACUGCCUUCGUGCUUGGAAGGUCUUGAGGACCCUUGGGCCAACAGAUGUGCUGGUGUCAAUGCCUUCUGCUCCCUUGGCAUCUGCCAGCAUUGCGUGGGCCCAGCCUAGAGGCAGAGCACCCUGUCCCUGUGGUGUCUGCAGAAGACACAGCUCAGCUCCAGACUCAGCAACACCCAGCUAGGAAGAUGUUUGAAGAAUGGCUUCAGUCUGACCUUUAUAUACCAGGCUGCAUGCUUGCUUCUCUGUUGACUCUAUAGAUAAAACUGCAUGGCUUUCUGAAAUUGACUCUGAAAAUUAUGUUCCCAGAACUGCAUGUUUUCCUUCCCAUGCCUCAUUACCUGUGAUAACUAUUCAAGCCUAACUAGUUACGAUCUCUGUUCUAACCAUGAGGCAAGUUAUAUCUGGUGGUGAAAAACCCUUGGAGUUUUUAUGGACCUGUUCAGCUGUGUUGGCUGAACGUUGGUUUAUCCAGUAUCUGGAGAGGACCUCAUCUGGCUUCAGCAGUUCUGAAGCAUACAAAAGCAGCGUGGUUUUCUUCUAAUGUAAGCCUUACAUUCAAGGAGAAGAUGCAUUAAUCAGGUAGGUCUCAUGUUCAUUUCUUCCACUAGAAAUGAACUUCAAGGCCUUGCUCCAUUAGUUGAUCACUUUGACGUCAAGAGAUGUUAAAUAUAGGCCUUACAUUUUAGGUUUCCUCAUACUUCCUCUAUUUCCCAUCUUUAAAUAUCAGUUAAUGACUUCUCCAUAUAGCACUUCUCUUUAAUUUCUGGUCAGAGGCUGUAAAUGUGCACCGUUAGUCAAAAAUAUGUUAUCUGCUGUUAGUGUUGGCUUCUGGAGCCCUCACCACCAAGUUACCUCGCAGUCGCAUCUCUCCUCACAUGAUUUUCUGAGUACUGCCAGGAGAAGAAUGGAAAAUAACUAUGAAAUAAAAGCAGAUUCUGCUCCCAUUACAGGCAAUGAAAACUGUGCUUUUACUUCUACUUACUCAUAAUAGUGGGGGGAAAAAAUGAAGUGGAAACAAGCACAACAAAACACCUCUGCCAGCUAUCUAUAAGCUAACCAAGGCUUCCACUAAUGAGGUGGUCUGGCAUUUUGAGAAAGACAGGUUUUUCCAGAAAUGGAAAAAAUAUGCUGUUUUUUUUUUUUCCUUCAACUCUGAGAGCAUAGCAAGAGAGUAAGAAAUUGUAUUUCAAAAAGGGAUAGCAAACUUUUAAUGCUGUCUGUAUUAGUUAAUACUUACAGACACCGGUACAGUUUCUUGUCAGCUAGAUGUUUUUGCAUAUUUGUUUGUUAGAUUACUAAAUACUUUCCUAAAAAGUGGUUAUUUGCUGUAUUUACAGAUUCAUCUCAGUGACUGUGAAAUUCCUGAGGAUGUUAUUACUUUCAAGUCAGAUUAACGGAGUAAUUUCCAGACAACCAUGCUACCAGAAUACAUGAUACUACUCUUAAAGUGGACCUCAAAAACUUUGAGAAAGAAAAUGAUUCCAUCUUUUUUGAUCAGGUUCUUCCUCUACAGGAGUUCCUGCAGCUACAGGACCAGGAGAUGUCCGAGGUCAAGAAAAGGUUAAAGUUGUUCACUGCUUUCAAGCUCUGGCCUUAGAAGUUAAUUCAGUGCUGUGCUGCGAGAGCUACAGAGUAAAUCCUUGGAACAGUGAAUUGCUGGUUUGAUAUCAAGCUCACGUCAACAUUUCUAUCAGAAAGAAUCACCAUAAUCACCAGAUAUAUUAGCAGAAACUGCUCCUUCCCAUUGACCACAUACGCCAAAAUCCUUGGAAACUCUUAAGCCGUGGACUUCCCCUGAAGACAUACAGAGAAAAUGGCUCAAGCGAACACUCCUCCAUUCCUUCAGUGGAGCCCAGGUCAGCUGUGACAAGCAUCUGCUCUGUGGGUAGGUGCAAAAUACACGACAAAGAUAUCGGCCGUGGAUCCCUUCUGUAAACGAUGACCUCAUCCGGAGGUUAUGGGACCUUCACGAGGAUACCAGUCGUACUCCUCCAUGGCGAUGUGUUACAGUAAGUAACUCGCUUCCUGGAUGCACUUGUAACAGGCAGAUAUCCUAACAACACAGGAUACGCAGACAUGUCCAGGUCUUUAAGAAGUCUUCCAAUGCAAUUAUUAAGGUAUUACGUGCUGAUAACACCACCAAAAACAUUGAGCAUGCUGUUCAUUCAGUUGGGCAUGAAACUACUUCCUUCUGAAUAUUUUAAAUGUACUUGGCUAAUUAAUUAAACAAUUAAUAAGGGCUACAGUUAAGUUUCUGUUUUUCAUUGUAACAAAUUAUUCCAGAGUUAUUCCAAAAUAUUCCAAAAUAUUCAUUAUUUUACUGAAUUCUGCAUAGGACUCUUUUUGGACACCACACCAAAGUGCAGCUACGAUGUUAAAAGAAAAAUGUUCCUUUGACAAAUGAAAUCUUUAAAAUGGCAACAAGCAAGGAAAAAGUCAGCUCUGAGUGGAAAACAUUUAAUAUGUUUUGAUGAUUUCUUAUCUCAGACAGAAGAGAAGACAAGUUGAUUUUCUCUGCUGAAACUUUUUGAAGUGAGUUCUGACUGAAAAGAUGUGGUGGUGUUUUAACAAAAACAUAUUGUUAUAAAACAUGAUGUAUGCUCAGAAGUAUUAAUGUGUACCUCUCUGCUUCAGGUUUGAACAUUUCAGUCCAGUGAACUAGCCUGUUCCAUUUAUUUUUUAAAUUCUUAUCCAGUUGAUCUUUUUUUUGUUGUUCUUUAAGUUUUCAGUAGUUCAAUGGCUACUUUUAUCUCUGAUUUAGGCUUUCAAACAGCACCAAACUCUGCCGUCCCAUCCUGUAAUCUGUCCAUUUAUUAUGGUGACUGGUGAACAGAGGCAACAUGUUAGUGCAAGCACUGUAAAAAUAUCUGUGGAGAAAACAUUCUUUCACUCUAAAGGAUAAGUUCCAUAAGAAUGUAUAUUCUCCAGUAUUUGCAAAAGUACGGUACGGAUUUUUCUUGUUAAAGGUAGCAAUGUCUGAAUCGCAAAUAAUUUCACGUUUAUAUGAGAGACAAUAUAUCAUUUUACAGAUCUGUAAUCAUGGAAAUCAAUGGUCAGUAUCCAUUUAAGAAAAUCGAAAUAAUUUAACUGAUUAUUUAAACAAUGCCUUGUUAGACUACGGAAUUUAAAGUCCUCUUUCAAAAUGAAGGUUGUUUUAAGUAGCGAACUUAUUAUUACAUACUACAUUCUAGUGGCACGUAAACACUUCUGAUUUAAAACAUGAAUUCCGUGUAAGUUCAAACUGAUGUCUUUGACUUUAGUUACAGAACUCAAUUUCAGGACUUUCUGCUGCUGGUGGCUGUAUAUCAGUUCUUCCAAUAGGGAUGUGCUCAGGACAAAUUAGUGAACGUAAUUUUAGCUGUAUGAGGUCAUUACAAAUACAGCCUUAGCUCUUCCUAGAGUGGACUUCAUUGUUAAUAUAAAUAUAUAUCUAUAGUUACUGACAUUUAUAUUAUUUGGCUCCUGUCCUAAGUUAUGGAUACAGUGAUGAUAAAAGCCCUUACCUAAGUGAGUCAUGCUUACUAAUUACUUCCAUGGUACUGGGUUCCUGUAAAUAAAGUUACUCAUGUAUUUAUAAGCAAGUCAAAAUUUAUACAUAUGUUUCUAAGAGUGAGUUAUCUUUCUCUCUGGGGCAAACAGCACAGUCUGCUGUUUGGAAAAGAACGCUGAGAGUAAGGACAUCCAGGGUGCUUCCUCACUUCUGCGAGGGUGCGUGCUCUCCUCUGCCAUUGGAUAUCCAACUAAAAUACUUAAUUUGGUCACAUUUUUUAAACUGUUUAAGACCCUUCUGCAUUACUUCAAGGUAGGAAAUGGCUGUUGAUUUUUCCUCGCUGUUUCCAAAGAGGCUGCGGUAAGAGGGUUUCAGUCUAAUUGUUUGCUCUAAAGAUGUAGCGUUCAAGACACAAAGCCUAGCAGUGUGACGUGGAAGAUCUCAAGACAAAGCAGCAGCCUCAACAUCUCUCUCUAAUGAGAACAGGAAAAGACAAUUGAGAUCCCGUAGGAAUGCAGUAUAUUUAGGAGAGAAGCAGAGCUCCUUUCACGAAUGGAGAGAGAACCCUGGUGAAUACUGGACUACCUGCUAUCUCUGGGUGUGACUAGGUGAGUGAAGGAUUUGGAUCACAGCCUGCAACGUUUUCCAGACAUUUAGAGUGCAACUACUACAACUACUACGCCAGCAAUUUUAUGCCUUCCUUUCCCUGACUCCAACAGUAUGCGAGAUAAGCAGCCAGAUUUUCUUCUGCAUUGUGUUUUUUUAUCCAUUCAGCCAAAAUUAACAGUCUUCAAGGAUAAUGUAUGCCAAGCGAAUUUAAAUCUUGCGGACUCAAAUCGACCUAAAGUUGAUGGAUACAUUCAUGCCUACUGCUGAAAUCUACCAAUUACACAGAACUAUGCUAACUUACCAUAGAAACAUCUCAUCUAAUAGCACAGAUGAUGUUGAACUAACUAAUUACAUUAUGGCACAUAGACAAUGAAAAACAUAACGAAGAUGACAGCACAGCAACAACAGAUGCUGCACAAAAGAAAAAUUAGAAAAAUAUUGCUCUGCAAAAUGCUGUCUGUUAAGGUUUCUUCUGUUAAAAUUAAUCACAAAAAUUAGUGAAGAUUAGAUUUCAGCAGAAGAUACGAGCAUUGUAAUGCUAUUUGGAAAACGUCAUUAAACCAUUUAAAGUCCUACUCUUUCA